UAUGAACGCUGGCGGCGUGCUUAACACAUGCAAGUCGAACGGAAAGGCCAGUGCUUGCACUGGUACUCGAGUGGCGAACGGGUGAGUAACACGUGGGUGAUCUGCCCUGUACUUCGGGAUAAGCUUGGGAAACUGGGUCUAAUACCGGAUAGGACAACUUUUUGGAUAUUGUUGUGGAAAGCUUUUGCGGUAUGGGAUGAGCUCGCGGCCUAUCAGCUUGUUGGUGGGGUAAUGGCCUACCAAGGCGUCGACGGGUAGCCGGCCUGAGAGGGUGUACGGCCACAUUGGGACUGAGAUACGGCCCAGACUCCUACGGGAGGCAGCAGUGGGGAAUAUUGCACAAUGGGCGCAAGCCUGAUGCAGCGACGCCGCGUGGGGGAUGAAGGCCUUCGGGUUGUAAACUCCUUUCGCUAGGGACGAAGCUUUUUUGUGACGGUACCUGGAGAAGAAGCACCGGCUAACUACGUG
rnacentral:rRNA from 1 species